GCCUGGGGGACAGAGCAAGACUCUGUCUCAAAAGAAAAAAAAAUGAAAUAAAUAAUAUUAGAAAAGCUCUUAGCCCAGAACCCUCAGUGCCCAGUAGAUGCUCUUCGGAAAAGGCCCUAAGAAGCCAUCAAAGAUAUGUCAUGGAGGAAGCCAUCGAAGAGGAAAGAGGAAGCUUUGUAACAGUUUACCUGGGAGGAAUAACAAGCUGCCAUAUGAAUACUGAUGAGAAAGGAGGUGGGAGAGACAUUUGAUCAUCAAUCAAGUUAUGAUUAUGAACACUCAGUUAAGAAAGAAAUGUGAAGUCAGUGUUCCUGAACAUGAAGAACAAGACCAGGGGUUGGGUUUUGGAGUCACACGGACUUUUUUUGUUCCAGCUCAUUUGUCUUUUUACCCAUUAAUAAA
rnacentral:lncRNA from 1 species